CAUUAUGGCUGUACGACGUCUCGGGCUGAUGAUGUUGUGCUUAUAUGAUCCUUGGACAAGAUUUGUCCCAGGGAUGCCUGGAAAAGGAACCAGGGAGAAAGGUGGUAAGCACCCAGUUUCCCAUCGUCCAGCGAAGGCCAUCUUGGUGGUAUUGCGAGAGGAGGUGUCGAGGCAAGCUGAGGGGAAAGCAAGGUACCAAGCCCAAGAAGCCUCUCUCCUUAUAUACGAUCCACCUGUCAACGUCUCCCAAUCCCCGCCAAGAAUCAUGA